UACGUAGGGGGCUAGCGUUGUCCGGAAUCAUUGGGCGUAAAGCGCGUGUAGGCGGUCCGGUAAGUCCGCUGUGAAAGUCGAGGGCUCAACCCUCGAAUGCCGGUGGAUACUGUCGGGCUUGAGUACGGGAGAGGCGAGUGGAAUUCCUGGUGUAGCGGUGAAAUGCGCAGAUAUCAGGAGGAACACCGAUUGCGAAGGCAGCUCGCUGGAACGUUACUGACGCCGAGACGCGAAAGCGUGGGGAGCAAACAGG
rnacentral:rRNA from 1 species